AAAAAGUAAAAACAUCGAGAGAAAAAAAAACGUAGAACAAAACCUAAAAAAAGAUUCUUCUUCUGUCAUCUUCUCCUCUAUUCACCGCCAAAAAAAUUCUUUCUCCAUCGCGAUGGUUCAUUCAUCACAUCUAUUUGGUUCUCCGUCCUUUCUUCUUCUUGAUUCUCUCUGUGUUUUUUUUGAUUUACUAUUGAUUUGUUUUGUUUUGUUUUUCUGUCGCAGGUGAUAUACUUUGAUAGGGAAUCUGAAAAGGGGACUAAUUCUUUUACCAUGUAAUUUUCAAAAGGAUCAAAUACGAUUCAUAAUUUUGUUGGUAAACCCUAACCCUAAUGUGUUUGAUUUUAUUUUCCAGGUACGUUAUUUUCUCAAAAGAUUCAUAGUUUGUUGGUAAACCCUAACCUUAAUUUGUUGGUAAACCCUAACCUUAAUUUCUUCUUUUGUUGAGUUUUUGGUUGUACCAAUGCUCUGAUGGGAUGGGUUCAUCAUAUAUAUUCUUAGUGUUUGCUUAAUAGUAAAAAUCGCUGGAUUAUAGAAAGUUAUUUUUUGCUUGAACAACAGUAAUGAGGCUAAACCUCCACAGUACUUUUUAUUUCCCAUGAAUUUCACUGAAAAGGUAUGAGCUUUGCAACAACACCCUAACCCUAUUUUGCAUUUCUCUAUUUCUUCUCAUAAUUCUCGCUUUGAUAUUUGAUUGUAUAAGUGUUGUUAUGGUGAUAGAAGCGUAGAAAUUGGAAACCCGACCAGGAAAAUACGAGCUUUAGAUUAAUGUUGAUUCAAGGUUUUGUGCAUUUAGAAAGAAGAAAUCCAGGGUAUUAUGAACCAAGGUCCUAAAAGUUUGGGACAAAAUUGGCUUACCAUUAGAAGUUUCUGGGUCUUUAUGGAGACACUCAGUCAAUCAAGAAUGCUUAGAAACAGCAUUCAAAGCUCUUCUUGUGCCACAAGGGCUCUUUUCAUAUUCGAUGGGUGCAUAUCCAGCAGCGCAAAACGUGUGGCCCGCAGGUUAUGGAUCUCAACCACAUGCUUGGAACUAGGCUUCCACGUGCAUAGAGACAACAAUGGAACACUGGAUACACUCAACAGGCGGGAAUUCAUAGUAAAUGUUAACUUUUUUAUUUUUUUUUGCAAUUCACAAUUCUCAUUGCCCAUGCUCAUUCAUUUGGUUCCUAGGACACUGUUAGCUCAGGAUAAAGGUUUAGUGGUUUAAUUUUUGUGUAAUUGAGGUUAUGUAUGUUCUAAGUUGCAUUCUUAGCGAAGAAGGAGAUGAGCAAGGGAACAUGAAGCGUUAGAUAAAAAUGCAUAAGAUGCUUGGUGGUAAAAGCUAAGGAAAGGGAGAAAGAAAACCAUAAAAUCAUACAAAGAUUGACCGAAAAAUUAUGAAUUAGGGUACUAGGUUCUCAGUUCUACACAGUGCCUGAUGCUUCCAUCAUUCGUAUGACCAGUCCAAACUGAAUUGUGUUAGUAUUUUUCAAUCUUUUUCAUUUUACUAUUGAAGCAGAAGGUAAAAUUCUUCAAUUUUUUUAAUAUAUUUCCAUUAAAAGAGUUGAUUGUGCAUCAAGCUAUUAGCUAUCAUUACCCUGAACUAACAAAAAAAGGUUUAAAACAAGUUGAUUGUGUAUUAGAUCAACCAAUUUCCAGUUUCUUGAACAUUUAGAUAGAAUACAUCUUUUGUUUAAGGGCAGCAAAGUAAAGUAAAGCAAGUAUCAUGGUCUUCUUUUCUCCACUGUCGAUUAUUAAUAGUAAGGACUUAUUUUUUAUUAUGCACGGAUGUGUAUAGUAUUUAAUUUUUAGUUGAAAUUGGUGGUUGUUUUCCGUGUUGAUAGGGAUGUUAGUAUUACUGCAUAUGGACAGGGUACUAGGUUCUCGGUUCUAGACAGUGCCUGAUGCUGCCAUCAUUUGUAUGACCAGUCUAAACUGAAUUGUGUUAGUAUUCUUCAAUUUUUUUUUGUUUUACUAUGGAAGCAGAAGGUAAACUUCUUCAAUAUUUUUUUUAUAUACUUUCCAUUAAAAGAGUUGAUUGUACAUCAAGCUAUUAGCUAUCAUUACCUGAACUAACAAAAAAAGGUUCAAAACAAGUUAAUUAUGUAUUGGAUCACGAAAUUUCCAGUUUCUUGAACAUUUAGCCAGAAUGCAGCUUUUGUUUAAGGGCAGCAACGGGUUUGUCUAUUUAAGUUUUUUGUUUUUAAUUCUUCAUUGAUCUACUUCUUUUGUCAGGUUGAUUUUAAGGGUACUGCAGAUGCAUUAAUAACAAUUUAGGGUUUUUAUUUCUCAUAUACCAGAAAUUGUGUCUUACUUGGUUAACUAGCUGCUGGUCGUUCAUAGAUUUCUCAUCUCCCUCCACAAAAAAUAUCAGAUGUUUAAUGGAUUUGAACUUCAAAUUGUUUUGAUUUCUCAUGUACCAGAAAUUCAUGGUUUUUAUUUCUCAUAUACCAGAAAUUGGGUCUUACUUGGUUAACUAGCAGUUGGUCAUUCAUGGAUUAAUUCUAUGUUCUCAUCUCCCUCCAAAAAAAAAUAUCAGAUGUUUAAUGGAUUUGAACUUCAAAUUUUUCUUCUAAUGGUGUUGUUGAUAAGAAGGAGAAAAAGGAAAAAGAUUGUAUCUUUCGUACCAUUAUUCGUGCAAAAUCCCAAGCAAGGUGAUUUGAUCAUUUUUUUCUUAUUUAUUUAAGCAUGUAUAUAUGCUUAUUAAAAAUCCCACGAACUCCAGAAACCAUGUAUGCUUAUUAAAAUUUAUUUCACACUCUUGCACAGUCUAUAUAUAUAUAUAUAUAUGAAGUAGAGUUGCAGAAACCAUGUAUACUUAUUAGAAUACUGGAGUGACAUAUUAAGUUCUUACAAAUGCAUGUUUUUAUUUUUUCCACGAGCAUAUAAAGAGUUCUCUGUUUCCGUAGUUACGUUUGUAUUUGGAAACAAAAUCUACAAAUUUAGACUAUUGAUUCAGGUGUUUAUCUAUUAUAGAGUAAUUUUAAAGAGAAUGCGAAAGGAACAUAAAGAUUUUGCACUGGCGCAAUAUGCAAGAAAAUUAUCAGGAACGUUAGGUGAUUGCAAUCCCGU